rnacentral:rRNA from 1 species
AACGAACGCUGGCGGCAUGCCUAACACAUGCAAGUCGAACGAGACCUUCGGGUCUAGUGGCGCACGGGUGCGUAACGCGUGGGAACCUGCCCUUAGGUUCGGAAUAACUCCCCGAAAGGGGUGCUAAUACCGGAUAAUGUCUUCGGACCAAAGAUUUAUCGCCUUUGGAUGGGCCCGCGUUGGAUUAGCUAGUUGGUAGGGUAAACGCCUACCAAGGCGACGAUCCAUAGCUGGUCUGAGAGGAUGAUCAGCCACACUGGGACUGAGACACGGCCCAGACUCAUACGGGAGGCAGCAGUGGGGAAUAUUGGAAAAUGGGCGAAAGCCUGAUCCAGCAAGGCCGCGUGAGUGAUGAAGGCCUUAGGGUUGUAAAGCUCUUUUACCCGGGAUGAUAAUGACAGUACCGGGAGAAUAAGCUCCGGCUAACUCCGUG